rnacentral:lncRNA from 1 species
GUUAUAUCCUCGUGGAUGACAGUUGUUUCCGUUUCCCCCAACAUAUAUUGGGAUGGGUUUCCCUAUUGAGUUAUUUCCUCAUUAGGAUGAGUCUUGAUUCAGUUUGCCUUUUUGGUUUGAUCCUAAAUUGGCUCCUUUUUUACUGUCUCUUGUGUUUCCCUAUGGUAUAAAUGAAUAAAUUGCCCAAUAACCGGUAAUAGUUCAUCUUAUUCCCCAGCGGAGUUUGUGGC